rnacentral:rRNA from 1 species
GUCCAGUGAUGAUGGCAAAGAGGCCACACCCGUUUCCAUCCCGAACACGGCAGUUAAGCUCUUUUGCGCUGAUGGUAGUUGGGGGUUUCCCCCUGUGAGAGUAAGACGUCGCUGGGCA